GUACGGGGGGGGUAAGCGUUGUUCGGAAUUACUGGGCGUAAAGGGCUCGUAGGCGGCCAACUAAGUCGGACGUGAAAUCCCUCAGCUUAACUGGGGAACUGCGUCCGAUACUGGAUGGCUUGGAUUUGGGAGAGGGAUGCGGAAUUCCAGGUGUAAGCGGUGAAAUGCGUAGAUAUCUGGAGGAACACCGGUGGCGAAGGCGGCAUCCUGGACCAACAUUGACGCUGAGGAGCGAAAGCUAGGGGAGCAAACGGG
rnacentral:rRNA from 1 species